rnacentral:rRNA from 1 species
UACGUAGGGUGCAAGCGUUAAUCGGAAUUACUGGGCGUAAAGCGUGCGCAGGCGGUUGUGCAAGACAGAUGUGAAAUCCCCGGGCUUAACCUGGGAACUGCAUUGGUGACUGCAUUGCUAGAGUAUGGCAGAGGGGGGGUGGAAUUCCACGUGUAGCAGUGAAAUGCGUAGAGAUGUGGAGGAACACCGAUGGCGAAGGCAGCCCCCCUGGGCCAAUACUGACGCUCAUGCACGAAAGCGUGGG